rnacentral:misc_RNA from 1 species
ACAAGGAUGCUCUAAAGCUCGGUUUGAUAAGCCAUUCUAAAGUGUUAUGAACUGUCAAGAAUGCCUUGAAAAAUUUGUUCAACAUUGAUGACAAAUUAAUCACUAGUCAAUUAAUGAAUUCAUUGCUACAAAUUUAAAAUACUGAAACCCAUUCUUCCUUCUACAAUCAUUUUAUUGAAGCACCACAAAAGCCUGAUAAACAUUCUUCCAACAAAUAAAAGCAAUUUUUUGCAGCUAAAAAACCAAAUCAAGAAUUGCCUAUUAAAUGAAUAUGGUACAACAAAUGCCCAGCAGCUAAAAAUCUGGAAGAUAUAAUUUACAAGCACCUGGGGAGAAACCAUACUUUACACUUACCUCGGUUGCUAGAGCAAUAAACCUAGUGAUCCAAACUUGGAUCAAGGGCAAACCAAUAAAGUUACUCUCCAUUGAUCAUAAGGGAAUGAUAGGGCUCUCUCUUAAUUUCCACAAAUGAUGAGUACUCCUUGCUCAUCGGCUGUUUCCAGGGUUCGCCAUCCAUCUGCAUAUAUGCGUGUUUCCAUUCCCCACCCCUUAUUUCCAAUCGAAUU